CUCAGGAUGAACGCUGGCGGCGUGCCUAAUACAUGCAAGUCGAACGAGUUCUCGUUGAUGAUCGGUGCUUGCACCGAGAUUCAACAUGGAACGAGUGGCGGACGGGUGAGUAACACGUGGGUAACCUGCCCUUAAGUGGGGGAUAACAUUUGGAAACAGAUGCUAAUACCGCAUAGAUCCAAGAACCGCAUGGUUCUUGGCUGAAAGAUGGCGUAAGCUAUCGCUUUUGGAUGGACCCGCGGCGUAUUAGCUAGUUGGUGAGGUAAUGGCUCACCAAGGCGAUGAUACGUAGCCGAACUGAGAGGUUGAUCGGCCACAUUGGGACUGAGACACGGCCCAAACUCCUACGGGAGGCAGCAGUAGGGAAUCUUCCACAAUGGACGCAAGUCUGAUGGAGCAACGCCGCAUGAGUGAAGAAGGCUUUCGGGUCGUAAAACUCUGUUGUUGGAGAAGAAUGGUCGGCAGAGUAACUGUUGUCGGCGUGACGGUAUCCAACCAGAAAGCCACGGCUAACUACGUGCCAGCAGCCGCGGUAAUACGUAGGUGGCAAGCGUUAUCCGGAUUUAUUGGGCGUAAAGCGAGCGCAGGCGGUUUUUUAAGUCUGAUGUGAAAGCCCUCGGCUUACCCGAGGAAGCGCAUCGGAAACUGGGAAACUUGAGUGCAGAACACGACAGUGGAACUCCAUGUGUAGCGGUGAAAUGCGUAGAUAUAUGGAAGAACACCAGUGGCGAAGGCGGCUGUCUGGUCUGUAACUGACGCUGAGGCUCGAAAGCAUGGGUAGCGAACAGGAUUAGAUACCCUGGUAGUCCAUGCCGUAAACGAUGAAUGCUAGGUGUUGGAGGGUUUCCGCCCUUCAGUGCCGCAGCUAACGCAUUAAGCAUUCCGCCUGGGGAGUACGACCGCAAGGUUGAAACUCAAAGGAAUUGACGGGGGCCCGCACAAGCGGUGGAGCAUGUGGUUUAAUUCGAAGCAACGCGAAGAACCUUACCAGGUCUUGACAUCUUUUGAUCACCUGAGAGAUCAGGUUUCCCCUUCGGGGGCAAAAUGACAGGUGGUGCAUGGUUGUCGUCAGCUCGUGUCGUGAGAUGUUGGGUUAAGUCCCGCAACGAGCGCAACCCUUAUGACUAGUUGCCAGCAUUUAGUUGGGCACUCUAGUAAGACUGCCGGUGACAAACCGGAGGAAGGUGGGGAUGACGUCAAAUCAUCAUGCCCCUUAUGACCUGGGCUACACACGUGCUACAAUGGAUGGUACAACGAGUUGCGAGACCGCGAGGUCAAGCUAAUCUCUUAAAGCCAUUCUCAGUUCGGACUGUAGGCUGCAACUCGCCUACACGAAGUCGGAAUCGCUAGUAAUCGCGGAUCAGCACGCCGCGGUGAAUACGUUCCCGGGCCUUGUACACACCGCCCGUCACACCAUGAGAGUUUGUAACACCCGAAGCCGGUGGCGUAACCCUUUUAGGGAGCGAGCCGUCUAAGGUGGGACAAAUGAU
rnacentral:rRNA from 1 species